rnacentral:rRNA from 1 species
GACGAACGCUGGCGGCGUGCUUAACACAUGCAAGUCGAACGGAAAGGCCCUGCUUUUGUGGGGUGCUCGAGUGGCGAACGGGUGAGUAACACGUGAGUAACCUGCCCUUGACUUUGGGAUAACUUCAGGAAACUGGGGCUAAUACCGGAUAGGAGCUCCUGCUGCAUGGUGGGGGUUGGAAAGUUUCGGCGGUUGUGGAUGGACUCGCGGCUUAUCAGCUUGUUGGUGGGGUAGUGACUGACCAAGGCUUUGACGGCUAGCCGGCCUGAGCGCGUGACCGGCGACAUUGGGACUGAGAGACGGCCCAGUCUGCUACGGGAGGCAACAGGGGGGAGUCUGGCAGAAUGGGGGGGAGCGUGAUGUAGAAGCGUCGCGUGCGGGAUGACGGGUUUCUGGUUAUAAACAGAUUUGGCCGGUGCCGAGGCGUGAGUGACGGUAAUGGGUAAAGAAGCAACGGCUAACUACGUG